rnacentral:rRNA from 1 species
UGCAAGUCGAGCGGGAUUUUUUCCUGUAGCAAUACAGGGAAAAGUCUAGCGGCGAACGGGUGCUUAACACGUGGGCAACCUGCCAAGAAGUGGGGGAUAGCUCGCCGAAAGGCGAAUUAAUACCGCAUGUGAUCAGAGUGGACAUCCAUUCAAAAUCAAAGUCGGGGCAACCUGACGCUUCUUGAGGGGCCCGCGGCCUAUCAGCUAGUUGGUGGGGUAACGGCCCACCAAGGCUUAGACGGGUAGCUGGUCUGAGAGGACGACCAGCCACACUGGGACUGAGACACGGCCCAGACACCUACGGGUGGCAGCAGUCGAGAAUUUUUCUCAAUGGGGGAAACCCUGAAGGAGCGACGCCGCGUGGAGGAUGAAGGUCUUCGGAUUGUAAACUCCUGUCAUUGGGGAACAAUGCGCAAAUAUUAACUGUAUUUGCGUUGAUAGUACCCGAAGAGGAAGAGACGGCUAACUCUGUGCCAGCAGCCGCGGUAAUACAGAGGUCUCAAGCGUUGUUCGGAUUCAUUGGGCGUAAAGGGUGCGUAGGCGGCGCGGUAAGUCGGGUGUGAAAUCUCGGAGCUUAACUCCGAAACUGCAUUCGAUACUGCCGUGCAUGAGGACUGGAGAGGAGACUGGAAUUUACGGUGUAGCGGUGAA